rnacentral:rRNA from 1 species
GAAGGAAAUUAAGUACGGAAGUUCCUGAUUUCACGCUGUCAAGAAAAGCCUCUAGGAAGAGUAGUACUGCCCGUACCGCAAACCGACACAGGUAGAUGAGGAGAGAAUCCUAAGGUGAGCGAGAGAACUCUCGUUAAGGAACUCGGCAAAAUGACCCCGUAACUUCGGGAGAAGGGGUGCUCUAUUAGGGUGCAAGCCCGAGAGAGCCGCAGUGAAUAGGCCCAGGCGACUGUUUAGCAAAAACACAGGUCUCUGCAAAACCGUAAGGUGACGUAUAGGGGCUGACGCCUGCCCGGUGCUGGAAGGUUAAGAGGAGUGCUUAGCUUCGGCGAAGGUACGAAUUGAAGCCCCAGUAAACGGCGGCCGUAACUAUAACGGUCCUAAGGUAGCGAAAUUCCUUGUCGGGUAAGUUCCGACCCGCACGAAAGGCGCAACGAUCUGGGCACUGUCUCAACGAGAGACUCGGUGAAAUUAUAGUACCUGUGAAGAUGCAGGUUACCCGCGACAGGACGGAAAGACCCCGUGGAGCUUUACUGCAACCUGAUAUGGAAUGUUUGUACCGCUUGUAC